UACGAAGGGGGCUAGGCGUUGCUCGGAAUCACUGGGCGUAAAGGGCGCGUAGGCGGAUCUUUAAGUCGGGGGUGAAAGCCUGAGGCUCAACCUCAGAAUUGCCUUCGAUACUGGAGAUCUUGAGACCGGAAGAGGUAAGUGGAACUGCGAGUGUAGAGGUGAAAUUCGUAGAUAUUCGCAAGAACACCAGUGGCGAAGGCGGCUUACUGGUCCGGUUCUGACGCUGAGGCGCGAAAGCGUGGGGAGCAAACAGG
rnacentral:rRNA from 1 species